rnacentral:rRNA from 1 species
UACGUAGGGUGCAAGCGUUAUCCGGAAUUAUUGGGCGUAAAGAGCUCGUAGGCGGUUUGUCGCGUCUGCUGUGAAAACCCGAGGCUCAACCUCGGGCCUGCAGUGGGUACGGGGCAGACUAGAGUGCGGUAGGGGGAGAUUGGAAUUCCUGGUGUAGCGGUGGAAUGCGCAGAUAUCAGGAGGAACACCGAUGGCGAAGGGCAGAUCUCUGGGCCGUAACUGACGCUGAGGCAGCGAAAGCGUGGGGAGCGAACGG